UACGUAGGGUGCGAGCGUUAAUCGGAAUUACUGGGCGUAAAGCGUGCGCAGGCGGUUCGUUAUGUCCGAUGUGAAAGUCCCGAGCUUAACUUGGGAAUGGCAUUGGAAACUGGCGGGCUGGAGUGCGGGAGAGGAGAGUGGAAUUCCUGGUGUAGCGGUGAAAUGCGUAGAUAUCAGGAGGAACACCGGUGGUGUAAACGGCUCUCUGGACCGUAACUGACGCUGAGGCACGAAAGCGUGGGUAGCAAACAGG
rnacentral:rRNA from 1 species